AUUGAACGCUGGCGGCAUGCCUUACACAUGCAAGUCGAACGGUAACGCGGGGCAACCUGGCGACGAGUGGCGAACGGGUGAGUAAUAUAUCGGAACGUGCCCAGUAGUGGGGGAUAGCCCGGCGAAAGCCGGAUUAAUACCGCAUACGACCGUACGGGUGAAAGGCGGGGGAUCGCAAGACCUCGCGCUAUUGGAGCGGCCGAUAUCAGAUUAGGUAGUUGGUGGGGUAAAGCCUACCAAGCCUACGAUCUGUAGCUGGUCUGAGAGGACGACCAGCCACACUGGGACUGAGACACGCCCAGACUCCUACGGGAGGCAGCA
rnacentral:rRNA from 1 species